rnacentral:sRNA from 2 species
UAUUCUGCCCAGACGCGAAGGAUGAGAAGCUUCGACUAAGGUUCGAUUCGAGCGUUAGCGAGAAAGCGUUGCCGCAGGCAACGACCCGAAGGGCGAGGCGCACCGCGCUGAGUAAUCCUUCCCCCACCACCA